rnacentral:rRNA from 1 species
CCUACGGGGGGCUGCAGUGGGGAAUAUUGCACAAUGGGCGCAAGCCUGAUGCAGCCAUGCCGCGUGUGUGAAGAAGGCCUUCGGGUUGUAAAGCACUUUCAGCGGGGAGGAAGGCGGUGAGGUUAAUAACCUCAUCGAUUGACGUUACCCGCAGAAGAAGCACCGGCUAACUCCGUGCCAGCAGCCGCGGUAAUACGGAGGGUGCAAGCGUUAAUCGGAAUUACUGGGCGUAAAGCGCACGCAGGCGGUCUGUCAAGUCGGAUGUGAAAUCCCCGGGCUCAACCUGGGAACUGCAUUCGAAACUGGCAGGCUAGAGUCUUGUAGAGGGGGGUAGAAUUCCAGGUGUAGCGGUGAAAUGCGUAGAGAUCUGGAGGAAUACCGGUGGCGAAGGCGGCCCCCUGGACAAAGACUGACGCUCAGGUGCGAAAGCGUGGGGAGCAAACAGGAUUCGAUACCCCAGUAGUC